AGGACUAACGCUGGCGGCGUGCCUAACACAUGCAAGUCGAACGAGAGUAGCAAUACUCUAGUGGCAGACGGGUGAGUAACACGUGGUCAACCUACCUCUAUGUGGGGGAUAACUAGCCGAAAGGUUAGCUAAUACCGCAUACGAUCGUCGAGCGGCAUCGCUUGACGAUGAAAGGAGCAAUCCGCAGAGAGACGGGACCGCGUCCCAUUAGCUAGUUGGUGGGUAAAGGCCUACCAAGGCGACGAUGGGUAGCUGGCUUGAGAGAGCGACCAGCCACACUGGGACUGAGACACGGCCCAGACUCCUACGGGAGGCAGCAGUGAGGAAUUUUCCGCAAUGGGCGAAAGCCUGACGGAGCGACGCCGCGUGUGGGAAGAAGGCCUUCGGUCGUAACCACUGUCGAAGGGGAAGAUAUUGACGGUACCCUUGGAGGAAGCCCCGGCUAACUACGUGCCAGCAGCCGC
rnacentral:rRNA from 1 species